AAUCAUUACACAAAUAUGAAGGCGGGCUGGAACCUCUCGGGGUUACAGCCUUGCUGAAUUAUCCACCCUUGUUCUUUUGCGUACUUCUUGUUUCCUUGGUGGGUUUGCCCACCACAAGGACAAACAUAAACCUUUUGUAAUUGCAAUCAGCGUCAGUAACAAAUUAAUAAUUACAACUUUCAACAACGGAUCUCUUGGUUCUGGCAUCGAUGAAGAACGCAGCGAAAUGCGAUAAGUAGUGUGAAUUGCAGAAUUCAGUGAAUCAUCGAAUCUUUGAACGCAAACAUUGCGCCCUUUGGUAUUCCAAAGGGCAUGCCUGUUCGAGCGUCAUUUGUACCCUCAAGCUUUGCUUGGUGUUGGGCGUCUUGUCUCUAGCUUUGCUGGAGACUCGCCUUAAAGUAAUUGGCAGCCGGCCUACUGGUUUCGGAGCGCAGCACAAGUCGCACUCUCUAUCAGCAAAGGUCUAGCAUCCAUUAAGCCUUUUUUCAACUUUUGACCUCGGAUCAGGUAGGGAUACC
rnacentral:rRNA from 1 species